rnacentral:rRNA from 1 species
UCGAGAAUCUUCCGCAAUGGGCGAAAGCCUGACGGAGCAAUGCCGCGUGGUGGAUGAAGGCCUUCGGGUUGUAAACACCUGUCAGUAGGGAGGAAAUUUUGACCGAUCUACAGAGGAAGUCCGGGCUAAGUACGUGCCAGCAGCCGCGGUAAUACGUACCGGACGAACGUUAUUCGGAAUCACUGGGCUUAAAGAGUACGUAGGCUGUUUUGUAGGUGAGAUGUGAAAUCCCACGGCUCAACCGUGGAACUGCGUUUCAAACCACAAAACUUGAGGGAGACAGGGGUGAGCGGAACUGAUGGUGGAGCGGUGAAAUGCGUUGAUAUCAUCAGGAACACCGGUGGCGAAGGCGGCUCACUGGGUCUUUUCUGACGCUGAGGUACGAAAGCUAGGGUAGCGAACGGGAUUAGAUACCCCCGUAGUCC